UCUCUUUACCUUCAUCUCUUUCCCUUCAUCUCUUAGCAAUUCAGGGUUGAUUUCACAGUUUAUCAAUGUCACUCAACCAGCAGCAGUCACCACCAAAGUAAACCAUGUUGUAAACCAUGUAUGCUUUUUCAUUUCGAAAGAUAUGUUGUAAACCAUGUAUGCUUUUAGCUUUUUCCAUCAAGACGAAUUCAAAGAGUCCAUUAGUGCUAGGCUGUUAGCUUUUUUAUUUUUUGCUCAUAUUCUUCAAUUAUGUCAUUGUUAAAAAUUAAAAAUAAAUAAAUAAAUAAAUAUAUAAAAUAUUAGUGCAAGCUUUAUAUAUAUAUAUAUAUAUAUAUAUAUAUAUAUAUAUAUAUAUAAAUGAUCUUUUAUUCUUCAAUUAAUUUGAAUUAUUUCGUUUAUAUAUGUUAAUAACAUUUUAUUUACAUAAAAAAGCUUGGACUAAUAUUAUAUAUAUAUAAAUGAUCUUUUAUUCUUCAAUUAAUUUGAAUUAUUUCGUUUAUAUAUGUUAAUAACAUUUUAUUUACUUUUUGGUGUAGGAUUUUUGUUUUCAAGGUGAAAAAGACAAAUGAAGAGAAUUAAAGAAAUUACCUUACUUUAUAAUUUGAAUUUGAAUUAUUGUUAUUUGUAUUAUUAGGGAUUAUAAUUUGGUAUUUGGAUGGCUGCAUAAUAUGGUUUGAGUUAUUUGUAUUUUGUUCUGGGAUGCUAAAU
rnacentral:lncRNA from 1 species